rnacentral:lncRNA from 1 species
UUCAUUAAAACCUAAUCCCUAAAGGAGAUCAUAUACACAUUACGAGAAAGAAGAUCAGACCCUUCUCUUUGAAAAAGAAAUAGAGAAAAUGGCGCACCCCCCCUCCAAAUUUGCACUGAAGAACGACCAUAUUCCCCAUAUCUCUAUCACCAACCUAACAGCUUUCUCCUAGCUCUCUUUUUAAUUAAUUUGUUCAACUCGCUCAGUCUCUAAGUUGAUCUUGCUUCGAAAAAUUUAUAGAGGCAGCAACACUAACACUCACUUCCUAUUUUCGUGGAUGAAAAUGGUUUCCAGUAUCAUGCUACUGCACCAAAUCAACUUCAAUUAUUUGGAAGCUGCAAAUUGUUAGUGAUAAUUUCUGGUCAGAAAAUCUGAUUUUUCGGCAACUUACAUUGUUGCCCUACUCUGUUGUUGCUCUUCUCUACUAUUGUUGUUCUCGAAGCUUUGUCAUGUUUGUUUUCCUCUACAUUUUAUACGUUUCUGAAGGUUUUGAAUCAAUUUUAAAAAGGAAAUUCUCAAAGGUGCACUUCAAUUCCAUUAUGUGUAUUUAAUCCACUGAAUAUCCCAUGCUUUGUUGUUUAUUGUUUGUCUAGUUAAUAAGUAGCUUAGCUUGUUUAAACUCCCAAAUGUAUAUUGGAUGGGUAUACUGAUUGCUCAUGAAAUGAA